rnacentral:rRNA from 1 species
CAGCGCCGCAAGUGGGGACCUCUUUUAUUGGGCCUAAAGCGUCCGUAGCUGGUUUAGUAAAUCUCUUGUGAAAUCGUUAGACUCAAUUUAACGGCAUGCAGGAGACACUGCUUUACUAGAGACCGGGAGAAGUAUGGAGUAUUCCGGGGGAACCGGUAAAAUGGGAUAAUCCUCGGAGGACUACCUGUGGCGAAGGCGCCAUACUAGAACGGAUCUGACAGUGAGGGACGAAGGCUAGGGGAGCAAACCGGAUUAGAGACCCGAGUAGUCC